GCGCCUGUAGCUCAAUGGACAGAGCAUCAGCCUCCGGAGCUGAGGAUAGAGGUUCAAAUCCUCUCAGGCGCACCA
rnacentral:tRNA from 1 species